rnacentral:rRNA from 1 species
UACCGGCAGCUCGAGUGAUGGCCAAUAUUAUUGGGCCUAAAGCGUCCGUAGCUGGCCGAACAGGUCUGUCGGGAAAUCCGCUCGCUCAACGAGCGGACGUCCGGCGGAAACCAGUCGGCUUGGGACCGGAAGACCCGAGGGGUACGUCCGGGGUAGGAGUGAAAUCCUGUAAUCCUGGACGGACCACCGGUGGCGAAAGCGCCUCGGGAGGACGGAUCCGACAGUGAGGGACGGAAGCUUGGGUCACGAACCGGAUUAGAUACCCGGGUAGUCCAAGCUGUAAACGAUGCUCGCUAGGUGUGGCACUGGCUACGAGCCAGUGCUGUGCCGUAGGGAAGCCGAGAAGCGAGCCGCCUGGGAAGUACGUCCGCAAGGAUGAAACUUAAAGGAAUUGGCGGGGGAGCACGGGGCGGGGGCGGCGGGCCGGGCGCGGGGCGCGGCGGGCG